rnacentral:rRNA from 1 species
AGUGAACGCUGGCGGUAGGCCUAACACAUGCAAGUCGAACGGCAGCACAGUAAGAGCUUGCUCUUACGGGUGGCGAGUGGCGGACGGGUGAGGAAUACAUCGGAAUCUACUUUUUCGUGGGGGAUAACGUAGGGAAACUUACGCUAAUACCGCAUACGACCUACGGGUGAAAGCAGGGGAUCUUCGGACCUUGCGCGAUUGAAUGAGCCGAUGUCGGAUUAGCUAGUUGGCGGGGUAAAGGCCCACCAAGGCGACGAUCCGUAGCUGGUCUGAGAGGCUGAUCAGCCACACUGGAACUGAGACACGGUCCAGACUCCUACGGGAGGCAGCAGUGGGGAAUAUUGGACAAGGGGCGCAAGCCUGAUCCAGCCAUACCGCGUGGGUGAAGAAGGCCUUCGGGUUGUAAAGCCCUUUUGUUGGGAAAGAAAAGCAGCAGGUUAAUACGCCGCUGUUCUGACGGUACCCAAAGAAUAAGCACCGGCUAACUUCGUG